rnacentral:rRNA from 1 species
UAUCUCUGUAGAGUCUGCAUAUCAAUAAGCGGAGGAAAAGAAACUAACUAGGAUUCCCUUAGUAACGGCGAGUGAAGCGGGAAGAGCUCAAAUUUGAAAUCUUCAAGGUUCUACCUUGACGAAUUGUAGUUUAAAGAAGUGUUUUCUGUUAGAUGAGUAGCAAAAGUUCCUUGGAAUAGGACAUCAUAGAGGGUGAGAAUCCCGUAUUUGACCAUUACUUUCCAGCGUUGUGAUACACUUUCAAAGAGUCGGAUUGUUUGGGAAUGCAGUCCAAAAUGGGUGGUAAAUUUCAUCUAAAGCUAAAUACUGGCGAGAGACCGAUAGCGAACAAGUACCGUGAGGGAAAGAUGAAAAGAACUUUGAAAAGAGAGUUAAACAGUACGUGAAAUUGUCAAAAGGGAAGCGUUUGACACCAGUGUUGUUUUCUCGAAAAUCAAUUAAGAAUGGCAUGAUUUUGUGUUGUAUUGACCUUAUCAGCUUUCUGCACUCUUUUCUUGAGUCUUUUUUAAUGCACUUUUGCGUUAACAAGUCAACAUCAAUUUCUUUUGUUGUAAAAGGGUCAUUGGAAGGUGGCUUUCUUUUCGGAGAAAGUGUUUAUAGCCUUUGGCCUCUGCAAUCGGAGAGAUUGAGGUCUGCAGCGUAGAUCCUUCGGGGUUAGAUACAUUUGUGCUAAGUUAUAGCCUUUCAUAGACAACUUGUUGACUAUGAUCAGUCAUGUAGCUUACUCGCUUAUGCUAUUUUACCUACGCUUAGGAUGUUGACGAGACUGUCGAUCUC